rnacentral:lncRNA from 1 species
GGUAUCAGAGCCCUAGGCUCAUACCUGGUUCGUAGUACAAAAUAGAGGGCCGUUUUGAGAGUCGGAUUCGAGUAAGAGAGGCAGCCAUUGGCUGCGGGGCUGAAGAAGAUGCAGAAGUGGAGAGCAGUGGUUUUCUUUUGGGCGGUGAUUACGGUAACAAAGCAUCUGAAUUGAUUUCCGCAACCGCCUGGAAGAAAAAUUAAAUAAAUAUUGUGGAAUUGGAAAGAAGAACAAAAUGGCUUUUGGUCUCUUUUACGAUUUGAAAAAGGAAAGCAAGCAAGCUAGUACCUAGUAAUUAAUUAAAAAGGUAAAGCACGUA